CCGGCACGGGUGAGUAACGCGUAUGCAAUCCACCUGUAACAGGGGGAUAACCCGGAGAAAUCCGGACUAAUACCCCAUAAUAUGGGCGCUCCGCAUGGAGAGCCCAUUAAAGAGAGCAAUUUUGGUUACAGACGAGCAUGCGCUCCAUUAGCCAGUUGGCGGGGUAACGGCCCACCAAAGCGACGAUGGAUAGGGGUUCUGAGAGGAAGGUCCCCCACAUUGGAACUGAGACACGGUCCAA
rnacentral:rRNA from 1 species